rnacentral:misc_RNA from 1 species
GAUGAAGAACGUAGUGAAAUGCGAUAAGUAAUGUGAAUUGCAGAAUUCAGUGAAUCAUCGAAUCUUUGAACGCACAUUGCGCCCGCCAGUAUUCUGGCGGGCAUGCCUGUCCGAGCGUCAUUUCAACCCUCGAACCCCUCCGGGGGGUCGGCGUUGGGGAUCGGGAACCCCUAAGACGGGAUCCCGGCCCCGAAAUACAGUGGCGGUCUCGCCGCAGCCUCUCCUGCGCAGUAGUUUGCACAACUCGCACCGGGAGCGCGGCGCGUCCACGUCCGUAAAACACCCAACUUCUGAAAUGUUGACCUCGGAUCAGGUAGGAAUACCCGCUGAACUUAAGCAUAUCAAUAAGCGGAGGA